ACAACACUUGGACUAGAAUACAAAAAUCAAACAAAAGAAAGAGAAAGAUACUUAGAAUUGAAGAACAAGUCAAAAAUGGAGCAGCAACGAUUGUGAAAUAUGAAUAGGCAAAAACAUAAACUUCUCAAGCGGCAAAAUAGGUAAAACAAGUUAAUCAAAUAUGCCACUUAACUAAUGAUACGUAGUAGAAGUUAUUAUGGCAACGUUAGUAAAAUCCUAAUAUAGUUGUGGUACUUAAAACUAGAAAGAUGUGUUCAAAUAAUGAAGCAAUGCAUACAAAACACACUAUUAAAU
rnacentral:lncRNA from 1 species